GGAAUCUUAGACAAUGGGGGAAACCCUGAUCUAGCCAUGCCGCGUGGACGAUGAAGGCCUUAGGGUUGUAAAGUCCUUUCAGCUGGGAAGAUAAUGACGGUACCAGCAGAAGAAGCCCCGGCUAACUCCGUGCCAGCAGCCGCGGUAAUACGGAGGGGGCUAGCGUUGUUCGGAAUUACUGGGCGUAAAGCGCACGUAGGCGGAUUGGAAAGUUGGGGGUGAAAUCCCGGGGCUCAACCUCGGAACUGCCUCCAAGACUAUCAGUCUUGAGUUCGAGAGAGGUGAGUGGAAUUCCGAGUGUAGAGGUGAAAUUCGUAGAUAUUCGGAGGAACACCAGUGGCGAAGGCGGCUCACUGGCUCGAUACUGACGCUGAGGUGCGAAAGCGUGGGGAGCAAAC
rnacentral:rRNA from 1 species